rnacentral:rRNA from 1 species
GAUGAACGCUGGCGGCGUGCCUAAUACAUGCAAGUCGAGCGAACAGACGAGGAGCUUGCUCCUCUGACGUUAGCGGCGGACGGGUGAGUAACACGUGGAUAACCUACCUAUAAGACUGGGAUAACUUCGGGAAACCGGAGCUAAUACCGGAUAAUAUAUUGAACCGCAUGGUUCAAUAGUGAAAGACGGUUUUGCUGUCACUUAUAGAUGGAUCCGCGCCGCAUUAGCUAGUUGGUAAGGUAACGGCUUACCAAGGCAACGAUGCGUAGCCGACCUGAGAGGGUGAUCGGCCACACUGGAACUGAGACACGGUCCAGACUCCUACGGGAGGCAGCAGUAGGGAAUCUUCCGCAAUGGGCGAAAGCCUGACGGAGCAACGCCGCGUGAGUGAUGAAGGUCUUCGGAUCGUAAAACUCUGUUAUUAGGGAAGAACAAAUGUGUAAGUAACUAUGCACGUCUUGACGGUACCUAAUCAGAAAGCCACGGCUAACCACGU